UCAAGCUACAAAGAGCACAAGGGGAAUGCCUUGGCACCGAGAGCCGAAGAAGGACGUGACUAACUGCGAUAAGCUGCGGGGAGCCGUAAGUAGGCUUUGAUCCGCAGAUUUCCGAAUGGAGCAAUCCGGCAAGAGGAAAGUCUUGUCAUCAUAUACUGAAUACAUAGGUAUAUGAGGGGAACCGCCUGAACUGAAACAUCUAAGUAGGGCGAGGAAGAGAAAUCAACUGAGAUUCCGUAAGUAGUGGCGAGCGAACGCGGAAGAGGCCAAACCGAGAGUAGUAAUACUUUCGGGGUUCGGACAGAAUACGGUAUUGUAAAGGUUUAGUGGAAUGGAAUGGGAAGUCCAACCGAAGAAGGUGAGAGUCCUGUACACGAAAAGCCUGAACAGCCAUCUGUAUCCAGAGUACCGCCGGACACGUGAAACCCGGUGGGAAUAAGGGGGGACCAUCCUCCAAGCCUAAAUACUACUCGGUGACCGAUAGUGAAGAAGUACUGUGAAGGAAAGGUGAAAAGUACCCCUGACGGGGAGUGAAAAAGAACCUGAAACCUUGUGUUUACAAGCACCGAAAGCUCAUCAAAGAGCGAUCGGGUACCUUUUGUAGAAUGGUCCGGCGAGUGAAUGUAACCGGCGAGGUUAAGCACUUAAGGUGUGAAGCCGCAGCGAGAGCAAGUCUGAAUAGGGCGUAUGAAGUCGGUUGUAUUCGACCCGAAACCGGGUGACCUACCCAUGGUCAGGUUGAAGUAAAGGUAAAACUUUAUGGAGGACCGAACCGACUCCCGUUGAAAUGGUAGCGGAUGAACUGUGGGUAGCGGAGAAAUUCCAAUCGAACCCGGAGAUAGCUGGUUCUCUCCGAAAUAGCUUUAGGGCUAGCCUUGAAAUAGAUUACCGGAGGUAAAGCACUGAAUUGGCUAGGGGCCGAGAGGUUACUGAACCUUAUCAAACUAAGAAUGCCGGAUAAUCGUUUUUCAGGAGUCAGACAGUGGGAGAUAAGUUUCAUUGUCAAAAGGGAAACAGCCCAGACCCACAGCUAAGGUCCCCAAGUAUAGUUAAGUGGAAAAGGAUGUGGAAUUGCACAGACAACCAGGAUGUUGGCUUAGAAGCAGCCACUCAUUAAAAGAGUGCGUAAUAGCUCACUGGUCGAGUGACUCUGCGCCGAAAAUUUAACGGGGCUAAACUAUACACCGAAGCUUGGGAUACAUCUAAUGUAUGGUAGGAGAGCGUUCUGUAUGGAGAGAAGUCGUAGCGAAAGCGGCGGUGGACUAUACAGAAGUGAGAAUGCCGGAAUAAGUAGCGAGAAUUAAGUGAGAAUCUUAAUGGCCGAAAGUCUAAGGUUUUUGGAGGAAGGUUCGUCCGCUCCAAGUAAGUCGGGAGCUAAGGUCAGGCCGAAAGGCGUAGCCGAUGCACAUACGGUUGAUAUUCCGUAACCAUCUGUAAUUUAAGCAAAGGGACACUUCAAAAGGGUGUGACCCGGGCGUUGGUUGACCCGGGCGUAAGGGACCGAAAUUAGAGUAGGGAAGCACACUUAGCUGAAGGCGAGAAAAGCUUUGCGUAUAGAAGCAGAUGCCCGUACCGCAAACCGACACAGGUGGACAGGAAGAGAAUUCUAAGGCCAGCGGGAGAAGGGUAGUUAAGGAACUCGGCAAAUUGACUCCGUAACUUCGGAAUAAGGAGUGCUCGAAAGAGCCGCAGAGAAUAGGCCCAGGCGACUGUUUAGCAAAAACACAGGUCUCUGCCAAAUCGAAAGAUGAAGUAUAGGGGCUGACACCUGCCCGGUGCCGGAAGGUUAAGAGGAGGAGUGAGAGCUCCGAAUUGAAGCCCCGGUAAACGGCGGCCGUAACUAUAACGGUCCUAAGGUAGCGAAAUUCCUUGUCGGGUAAGUUCCGACCCGCACGAAAGGCGUAAUGAUUUG
rnacentral:rRNA from 1 species